rnacentral:rRNA from 1 species
UACGUAGGAUGCAAGCGUUGUCCGGAAUUAUUGGGCGUAAAGCGAACGUAGGCGGUUUCUUAAGUUUGGUCUUAAAGACCGGGGCUCAACCCCGGGAAUGGAUCGAAAACUGGGAGACUAGAGGAUGUCAGAGGAAAGUGGAAUUCCGAGUGUAGCGGUGAAAUGCGUAGAUAUUCGGAGGAACACCAGUGGCGAAAGCGACUUUCUGGGGCAUUCCUGACGCUGAGGUUCGAAAGCUCGGGGAGCAAACAGGAUUAGAUACCCUGGUAGUCCGAGCCGUAAACGAUGGAUACUAGGUGUCGAGGGUAUCAACCCCCUCGGUGCCGUAGCUAACGCGUUAAGUAUCCCGCCUGGGGAGUACGGUCGCAAGACUGAA